rnacentral:rRNA from 1 species
UAUCUCUGUAGAGUCUGCAUAUCAAUAAGCGGAGGAAAAGAAACUAACUAGGAUUCCCUUAAGUAACGGCGAGUGAAGCGGGAAGAGCUCAAAUUUGAAAUCUUCAAGGUUUUACCUUGACGAAUUGUAGUUUAAAGAGGUGUUUUCUGUUGGAGUUUCGGUAAAAGUUCUUUGGAAUAGGACAUCAUAGAGGGUGAGAAUCCCGUAUUUGACCAUUAUUUUCAACUGUGUGAUACACUUUCAAAGAGUCGGAUUGUUUGGGAAUGCAGUCCAAAAUGGGUGGUAAAUUUCAUCUAAAGCUAAAUACUGGCGAGAGACCGAUAGCGAACAAGUACCGUGAGGGAAAGAUGAAAAGAACUUUGAAAAGAGAGUUAAACAGUACGUGAAAUUGUCAAAAGGGAAGCGUUUGACACCAGUGUUGUUUUCUCGAAAAUCAAUUAAAAAUGGCUGGAUUUUGUGUUGUAUUGACCUUAUAAGCUUUCUGCACUUUUUUCAUGUCUUUUUUAAUGCACUUUUCGUUUAACAAGUCAACAUCAAUUUCUUUUGUUGUAAAAGGGUCAUUGGAAGGUGGCUUUCUUUUCGGAGAAAGUGUUUAUAGCCUUUGACUUCUGCAAUCGGAGAGAUUGAGGUCUGCAGCGUAGAUCCUUCGGGGUUAGAUGCAUCUGUGCUAAGUUAUAGCCUUUCAUAGACAACUUGUUGACUAUGAUCAGUCAUGUAGCUACUCGCUUAUGUCAUUUUACCUACGCUUAGGAUGUUGAUCUCUCACAGUCGAGC